rnacentral:misc_RNA from 1 species
CUGCCCUCAAGCGCGGCUUGUGUGUUGGGCGUGGUCCCCCCCUCUUGCGGGGGGACCUGCCCGAAAGGCAGCGGCGACGUUCCGCCCAGGUCCUCGAGCGUAUGGGGCUUUGUCACCCGCUCGGGACGGACCUGCGGGCGUCGGUCAUCCACGAUUCUUUCCACGG